UAGCCAAAAAAUCAAAAAAAUAUAACAUUAGUUUUUCAUUCCUUUUUUUAAUCCAAGUCAAUUAUCAUUUAAAUAUUUGAUUUGAUUUCCUCUACUUUUAGAAAAAAUCAAAAAAUAUAUUUAUGUUAAUUUUGGGUGUUUAUUGUCCUGAUCUUAUUUUAAUUAUUGUGGUUUUUAAUUUAACCUAAAAAACCAAUAUAAAUAGAAGGACUAACCCUAUUACACUGGGGGAGGCCAACUCCAUUCACAAAACCCUACUUUCAGCCUUUCAUUCUCACGCACAUAAUUUCUUAGUUUUGUACAUACAACUAACGAAUCCUAACUAACCUAUUGAUUUUUUCUAUUCAUGAUACAUUGUGAAUAAGCUAUAGAGAUUAAUUCCACAGUUUUCUACUCUCUCACGUAUAGGAAAGAACAAAGAAGAAGAUCCAGAUCCAACAACAACAACAACUCGGCUUCCGUUUUCAACCCGUUCAGAAUCCAUCCCGGCACCGAUCUAGAUCCAAAGUUUAACGAGGUUUCCGAUCGCACCAACCACGAUCCCAACCAUCUCCGCGAACAGUGCUGCUACCGCUCGCAAAUCUCCACCAUCGAUCACCACACGGCCGCAAUCCGACGCACAUCACGAUUUUAAUCGGUAAUUUUUCCAUUGUUGUUUGACUUUGAUGGUUUCAAAUGUGAGCUUUUUAUAUAUAAUGUUCAUUGCUAUGGUGAGAUUGGUUUUGUUUCAAACUGAGAUUUUUGAGAGAGGAAGAGAUUUGUCUGUUGCUGUUAUUUCACGUGUGAAGAGAAAGAAGUCUCACUGGUGUUAAGACCA